rnacentral:misc_RNA from 1 species
AGGGUAUUGAAUUUGAGGAGAAUGAGGUUGCGGCUGUGGAGGAAGAUUUUUCGCUAUGCCUUGUGGGGCGAUUUCUUACCGACAGUCCAAUACGUUUCCAGUUUAUGAAACAGACCAUGGCAUCAUUAUGGAGGCCUACCGAGGGGAUGAGUGCCAAGGAAAUUGCUGAAGGUCUGUUUUUGUUUAAGUUUUACCAUGCUGUUGAUCGUGAUAGAGUGCUGGAUAUGGGGCCCUGGACGUUUAAUAGCCAUUUACUCCUCAUUGAUAAAGUUGAUGGCUAUGACGAUCCUAGAGAUGUUCCUCUGCUUUUUAUGCGUAUUUGGGUACAGAUUCAUGGUUUGAAACCAGGGUUCAACUCAGAUCAUGUAGUGGAACGAUUGGGCAAUGCGAUGGGAGAAUGCUUGGAGCGUGAUGAAAACAAUUUCACCAAGGUCAAGAAUUUCUCUAGUUCCUGGAAAUCUUAUGCAAGAGUGCGGGUGAAGUUGGAUGUCAG